GACGUAGGGCGCGAGCGUUUGUCCGGAUUUAUUGGGCGUAAAGAGCUCGUAGGCGGCUUGUCGCGUCGGAUGUGAAAGCCCGGGGCUUAACUCCGGGUCUGCAUUCGAUACGGGCAGGCUAGAGUGUGGUAGGGGAGAUCGGAAUUCCUGGUGUAGCGGUGAAAUGCGCAGAUAUCAGGAGGAACACCGGUGGCGGAAGGCGGAUCUCUGGGCCAUUACUGACGCUGAGGAGCGAAAGCGUGGGGAGCGAACAGG
rnacentral:rRNA from 1 species